rnacentral:rRNA from 1 species
GACGAACGCUGGCGGCGUGCCUAAUACAUGCAAGUCGAACGCUUCUUUCCUCCCGAGUGCUUGCACUCAAUUGGAAAGAGGAGUGGCGGACGGGUGAGUAACACGUGGGUAACCUACCCAUCAGAGGGGGAUAACACUUGGAAACAGGUGCUAAUACCGCAUAACAGUUUAUGCCGCAUGGCAUAAGAGUGAAAGGCGCUUUCGGGUGUCGCUGAUGGAUGGACCCGCGGUGCAUUAGCUAGUUGGUGAGGUAACGGCUCACCAAGGCCACGAUGCAUAGCCGACCUAAGAGGGUGAUCGGCCACACUGGGACUGAGACACGGCCCAGACUCCUACGGGAGGCAGCAGUAGGGAAUCUUCGGCAAUGGACGAAAGUCUGACCGAGCAACGCCGCGUGAGUGAAGAAGGUUUUCGGAUCGUAAAACUCUGUUGUUAGAGAAGAACAAGGACGUUAGUAACUGAACGUCCCCUGACGGUAUCUAACCAGAAAGACACGGCUAACUACGUG